rnacentral:misc_RNA from 1 species
AGCUCCUUGAGAUGAUACAAUGUGAAAAUGAAUGGACAGACCACCUGGCUUUGCACCCAGUUUUCCAGAAUUUGAACAGUUCUGCUUCCCUCUUGCCCUCACCUUCCCAGGCAUCUUUUUGCAUCAUGAAGCCUUCAAAUAUGAUUCCACUUCCAUUACAACAUGAUUGGCUCGCAUAGGAAAUGCCAUGGCCGUCAGCAUCAUCAGUAUCAUCAUUUGGUGCAUCGUCUGCAUCAUAAUGUCCUUUAAAGCUCCAAUGGUCUUUACUCCGAAUUUCCUUCAGCUGAAGAUUUUCAACUUUAAGAUUCUGCAACUCACCCUCCAGCAAUUCAAUUUUGGCAAUAACUCUAUCAUUUUCCUCUUCAACUUCUGCUAGCACCGAUUCCAGAGUUCUGCAUUCUUUCAUUGCUAUGUGGAGUUGGUCUUGAAGUUCCUUCCUAUCCAACACAAGACUAUCCAACUCAAUCCGCAUCUCAUGCAAAUGCUCUUGUAGCAGCCGUUCCCUCUGCAAGGCAGUCAAAA